UACGUAGGCAGCGAGCGUUGUUCGGAAUUACUGGGCGUAAAGAGUGUGUAGGCGGUGCUCUAAGUUCGGUGUGAAAUCUCCUGGCUCAACUGGGAGGGUGCGCCGGAAACUGGAGUGCUUGAGCGUGGGAGAGGAAAGCGGAAUUCCUGGUGUAGCGGUGAAAUGCGUAGAUAUCAGGAGGAACACCUGUGGUGUAGACGGCUUUCUGGACCAUAGCUGACGCUGAGACACGAAAGCGUGGGGAGCGAACAGG
rnacentral:rRNA from 1 species